ensembl:lncRNA
CUUGUUACCGAGGACCUGCGUUGUGCCUAAGCUAGCGUGUUAUGAUGUUGUUCUCUCUGUCCUACUUGUAUUACGUUCCAGUGUUAUGAUUGGGUAGUAGUAGCCACCGUCUGGUAUUAUGAUUGGUUAGAUCGUUCAUACGCACGGUCAUAGUGAAAUCUUGGCCAAUCCUAGUCCAGGAGGCGGGACUUGUCGCAAAGCGGGUAGGAGAACGGUAGCACGCUUUGCUAAUAUAUCAGGCUAACCGGUAACUACUGACUGCUGUGUCUCAGGUAACUACUGACUGCUGUGUCUCAGGUAACUACUGACUGCUGUGUCUCAGAUAAAUGACAUGAAAUUACUGACUGCGGUGUCUCGGGUAACUACUGAC